rnacentral:rRNA from 1 species
UAAAUGACUCUCGGCAACGGAUAUCUCGGCUCUCGCAUCGAUGAAGAACGCAGCGAAAUGCGAUACUUGGUGUGAAUUGCAGGAUCCCGCGAACCAUCGAGUCUUUGAACGCAAGUUGCGCCCGAAGCCUUUUGGCCGAGGGCACGUCUGCCUGGGUGUCACGC